rnacentral:rRNA from 1 species
GAUGAACGCUGGCGGCGUGCCUAAUACAUGCAAGUCGAGCGAACGGACGAGAAGCUUGCUUCUCUGAUGUUAGCGGCGGACGGGUGAGUAACACGUGGAUAACCUACCUAUAAGACUGGGAUAACUUCGGGAAACCGGAGCUAAUACCGGAUAAUAUUUUGAACCGCAUGGUUCAAAAGUGAAAGACGGUCUUGCUGUCACUUAUAGAUGGAUCCGCGCUGCAUUAGCUAGUUGGUAAGGUAACGGCUUACCAAGGCAACGAUGCAUAGCCGACCUGAGAGGGUGAUCGGCCGCACUGGAACUGAGACACGGUCCAGACUCCUACGGGAGGCAGCAGUAGGGAAUCUUCCGCAAUGGGCGAAAGCCUGACGGAGCAACGCCGCGUGAGUGAUGAAGGUCUUCGGAUCGUAAAACUCUGUUAUUAGGGAAGAACAUAUGUGUAAGUAACUGUGCACAUCUUGACGGUACCUAAUCAGAAAGCCACGGCUAACUACGUGCCAGCAGCCGCGGUAAUACGUAGGUGGCAAGCGUUAUCCCGGAUUAUUGGGCGUAAAGCGCGCGUAGGCGGUUUUUUAGUCUGAUGUGAAAGCCCACGGCUCAACCGUGGAGGGUCAUUGGAAACUGGAAAACUUGAGUGCAGAAGAGGAAAGUGGAAUUCCAUGUGUAGCGGUGAAAUGCGCAGAGAUAUGGAGGAACACCAGUGGCGAAGGCGACUUUCUGGUCUGUAACUGACGCUGAUGUGCGAAAGCGUGGGGAUCAAACAGGAUUAGAUACCCUGGUAGUCCACGCCGUAAACGAUGAGUGCUAAGUGUUAGGGGGUUUCCGCCCCUUAGUGCUGCAGCUAACGCAUUAAGCACUCCGCCUGGGGAGUACGACCGCAAGGUUGAAACUCAAAGGAAUUGACGGGGACCCGCACAAGCGGUGGAGCAUGUGGUUUAAUUCGAAGCAACGCGAAGAACCUUACCAAAUCUUGACAUCCUUUGACAACUCUAGAGAUAGAGCCUUCCCCUUCGGGGGACAAAGUGACAGGUGGUGCAUGGUUGUCGUCAGCUCGUGUCGUGAGAUGUUGGGUUAAGUCCCGCAACGAGCGCAACCCUUAAGCUUAGUUGCCAUCAUUAAGUUGGGCACUCUAAGUUGACUGCCGGUGACAAACCGGAGGAAGGUGGGGAUGACGUCAAAUCAUCAUGCCCCUUAUGAUUUGGGCUACACACGUGCUACAAUGGACAAUACAAAGGGCAGCGAAACCGCGAGGUCAAGCAAAUCCCAUAAAGUUGUUCUCAGUUCGGAUUGUAGUCUGCAACUCGACUACAUGAAGCUGGAAUCGCUAGUAAUCGUAGAUCAGCAUGCUACGGUGAAUACGUUCCCGGGUCU